UGUUUCAUGUUUCAGGAACGUGCUUUGCAGGCUGUUGUGUGGAGAUGAUUGCCCAGAUGUGGGAGCAUUUGACCGGCAGAUCCCUCUUCCCUCCAGAAGAGUGAAACUUGUGUCUCCUCCUGAGAAAACCCUAAGAGAAGCUUGUUAUGUUGAGGGCCCGUUUUGAAUCCAGCCCAAGUCCCCAGUGACUGAAAUCUGUUACCACCUGAUAGCUGCUGGGGGGGGUGCCCUGAGCAUUGGAAAUAGGGUGUGGCAUUUGCUAGACUUGGCCAGUGGCUGUUUCCGAAGCUAUAGAAGACAGCUGCAGCGGCACAGGAGCUAGCAAACAGAGCUCUAAACAGGGGAGUUUGAGUGGGAGUUCUGGUGGAGGAGAAGACCAGAAGGGACCAUUGGGAUCAUCUACUCUGACCUCCUGGAUAACACAAACCAGAGAACUUUCCUGAAUGAAUUCCUUUUGAAUCUGAAAAACAUCCCCUCUGGAUUUUAAAAUGUCCAGCCAUGGACCAUCUCUCCCAGCCUCUGGCUCAGGUUGGCCACUCCUGCUCUAGCUGCUGUUUUACCAGUGACUGAUUUUUGAGAGCGAAAUCUUUGGGCGAGAUCCCAAUGCUGUUACUCAUCUUGAAUGGCACCUGAGUCCAUGACACUAUUAACAAGAACCUGUCCCUGUUGUUUCCCCUACAGUCCUGCCCCACAAUAUCCUUUUGUCUUAAACAAAUUGUGCUUUUCAACGUACAUGACACUAUGCACUCUGUGCCCUUCAUCCAGCCCAGUGGAGAAAGAGGUCUCACUGUGCAGAUUAAUUCUGCUCUUAUUUUGGCUGGGUUGUAUUGGGGGGGUGGGCGGGGAAUGGGAGUUGGAGAGUUUCGGGGAGUCUCAUGAAAAUUGUUUUUUAAGCCUCUAGCUUGUGUUUUUUCCUUUGGAGCAUUACUAAAUCUGCCUAUGGCUUGCUAAUUGAAGCGAGGCCUAUGCUAAUAAACAGUCGGGUUUGAUGGCGGGUCUUGUCCUGCUCUAAGGAAGCCCAGGGAAUAAAUGUAAGCAUUCCCACCCAUACAGCCUCCAGAACUGAUUUUCAUGCCCGAGCCAAUGGAACGCAGGUCUCAUAGCCUGUAAGGCCAAAGGGCCCAUUGUGAUCAUCUAGUCCGACCUCCUGCACAUCGCAGGCCAUAGUACCUCGCCCACCCCCUCCGCUCGUCGGCCCAGACCUGCAAAGUGCUGUGUUCUAACCCUGGAGCCUACUGGGCUCAAGCAGGUUCUACAAGUGGUAGGAGACGUUCUCCCUGCCCCCAAUGACAGGCUGCUUUACUCACAUCGUGGAGGGUCAACGGCACUGAAAUAGGUCGAGGGCUCCAGUCUAUACCUUCCCAGUCAAGUCCCACCGCUGGCUUCAGAACCUUCCCCCGGCGCCUGGAAUGGUCUCGGCUGGGUGGAGGCCUCUUCACUUCUUUCCACCUCCCUGCUACGAUCCACACACGCUGAGCUGCCCACAAGAAUUGUGUCAAGUAACCCCUGCACAUCACCAUGAGACGGAUGGAAGGGGCUCCAGGAAGGAACAUCCAAACUGCACUCCUCAAUGGAUCCAAGUCCCACUCUACAGUUGGAACAGCUUUAAGUUGGCGUCCAGCUUCUCCCCAAAGUGUCUGUGUCACACAGUAGCAGAGCGGAUGGGAUCAUGUCUUUCACAUUGAUGGGGCUGCUUUUGGUCCUUCCCAAAUGUGUUUUUUUAAAAAAACCCCACAGUCCCUUGCACCAUUCCUAACUAGUAUCCAGGCAGAUUAUAUUUGUAGCCCUGAUGUAGUCUAAAAUAUCUCAGUUAUGUGAUACUCUUGUUAGCAGUGCUGGAGAGGCCAAGGGGGAGGGGACACCCUGUCCUCUCCCCACCAUUCAGCUAUCUAGUGGGGGAGAACAUAAGAAUGGCCAUACUGGGUCAGACCAAAGGUCCAUCCAGCUCAGUAUCUUGUCUACCGACAGUGGCCAAUGCCAGGUGCCUCAGAGGGAGUGAAUCUAACAGGUAAUGAUCAA